GAGCAUACCGCGUGAGGGAGGAAGGCUCUUGGGUUGUAAACCUCUUUUUUAGGGAAGAAGAACGUGACGGUACCUAAUGUAAGCAUCGGCUAACUCCGUGGCCACAGCCGCGGUAAUACGGAGGAUGCAAGCGUUAUCCGGAAUCAUUGGGCGUAAAGAGUCCGUAGGUGGCAAUUCAAGUCUGCUGUCAAAGACCGAAGCUCAACUUCGGGCCGGCGGUGGAAACUGAAAAGCUAGAGUAUAGUAGGGGUAGAGGGAAUUCCUAGUGUAGCGGUGAAAUGCGUAGAGAUUAGGAAGAACACCAGUGGCGAAGGCGCUCUACUGGGCAUAUACUGACACUGAGGGACGAAAGCUAGGGUAGCGAAAGGGAUUAGAUACCCCUGUAGUCCUAGCGGUAAACGAUGGAUACUAGGUGUUGUCUGUAUCGACCCAGACAGUGCCGAAGCAAACGCGUUAAGUAUCCCGCCUGGGAGUACGCACGCAAGUGUGAAACUCAAAGGAAUUGACGGGGACCCGCACAAGCGGUGGAGUAUUGUGUUUAAUUCGAUGCAACGCGAAGAACCUUACCACGGCUUGACAUCCUGCGAAUUUUGGGGAAACUCGAAAGUGCCUUCCGGAACGCAGAGACAGGUGGUGCAUGGCUGUCGUCAGCUCGUGUCGUGAGAUGUUGGGUUAAGUCCCGCAACGAGCGCAACCCUCGUCCUUAGUUGCCAGCAUUAAGUUGGGGACUCUAGGGAGACCGCCGGGGAGAACUCGGAGGAAGGUGGGGAUGACAGUCAAGUCAGCAUGCCCCUUACGUCUUGGGCUACACACGUACUACAAUGGUUGAGACAAAGGGAAGCGAAGCCGCGAGGUGAAGCGAAUCCCCAGCAAACUCAGCCCCAGUUCAGAUUGCAGGCUGAAACUCGCCUGCAUGAAGGAGGAAUCCGCUAGUAAUCCGCAGGUCAGCAUACUGGCGGUGAAUCCGUUCCCGGGUCUUGUACACCCCCCCCGUCCCCGCCUGGAACUGGUCAUGCCCGAAGUCGUUACUCCAACUGUAAAAAGAGGAGGAUGUCGAAGGUGGGACUGAUGACUGGGGUGAAGUCGUAACAAGGUAGCCGUACCGGAAGGUG
rnacentral:rRNA from 1 species